UACAGAGAGUGCAAACGUUGUUCGGAAUUACUGGGCUUGAAGCGCACGUAGGCGGCGUCGUAAGUGUCGGGUGAAAUCCCACGGCUCACCCGUGGAACUGCCCGGCAUACUGCGACGCUAGAGUGUGGUAGGGAAGAGCGGAACUCCUGGUGGAGCGGUGAAAUGCGUAGAUAUCAGGAGGAACACCGGUGGCGAAGGCGGCUCUUUGGUCCACAACUGACGCUGAGGUGCGAAAGCCAGGGGAGCAAACGGG
rnacentral:rRNA from 1 species